rnacentral:rRNA from 1 species
UACGGAGGGAGCUAGCGUUGUUCGGAUAUACUGGGCGUAAAGCGCACGUAGGCGGCGUCGUAAGUCAGGGGUGAAAUCCCGGAGCUCAACUCCGGAACUGCCUUUGAAACUGCAAUGCUAGAAUCUUGGAGAGGCGAGUGGAAUUCCGAGUGUAGAGGUGAAAUUCGAUAGAUAUUCGGAAGAACACCAGUGGCGAAGGCGACUCGCUGGACAAGUAUUGACGCUGAGGUGCGGAAAGCGUGGGGAGCAAACAGGG